GCGCCGGUGGUCUAAUGGCUAUGACUUCGGCCUUCCAAGCCGACUAUCUGGGUUCAAAUCCCGGCCGGCGCA
rnacentral:tRNA from 1 species